CAUCUCUCUCCUUAAGAAAAUAAGAAAGUUAGAGAGAGUUAGAGAGUUAGAGAGAAGUUAGAGCUAGGGAGAAAGUGUUCUUCCUUAGAAGCUUUUCUCUUCCGCGUCUCAAGCUAGGACUAGAAGCUGUUAGAUCAAUUCUUUCAAGCCAAGUCCAGGUAACCUUAGUGGGGAAAAGCCUUAGAGGGGAGCACACGACGUUAGGACAGCCGGUGUAGAGUUGCAUUGCCUUUGCAAGUCGUUUUUCCUUGUCCGGGCCAACACAACGCACCAGGCCGCGAGGGUUGCAAAGCCUAAGUAACCUCGGUUGCGGGAGGAAUUGUGCUAGGGAAGACCAGUCGGGAAGUCUGCAGCUUCCGUCCCUCGACUGAACCACCUCGGUGCAGUUCCCAUAGUGGUGUCCCGUGGCUUUCUGUUGGCCUGCGUAGUCAUAGGAUGGUUCGGGGGCGUUACAGUCGUGGCUAGACUGAUGCAAUGAGAGUCUCUCGUGGUUGUAUUUGUUGUUAGAAUCAGCUUUUUAAGGUAAUGCAUGUAUAGCGUGGAAUCUUGGCGAUGAGGAGGAGGAUGAUCUAGGGUCUCUGUUUUAUGAUGUUGGUUUUAGUAAUAUGUUAGGUUGUUGGUUAUGUUUUACGUUCCGAUGUGCAUAUUGUUGCUUUGGUAUUUGUCGGUCUAUGUUGUUAUCUAGAAUUGGUUGGUCGGAUUGUAUCGUUUGGUAUGCUUGGGUUGUAAUUAAUUAUUAUGGGGUAUUUAAUAUUAA